rnacentral:tRNA from 1 species
GUCCCCGUCGUCUAGCCCGGCCUAGGACAUCGCCCUUUCACGGCGGUAACGGGGGUUCGAAUCCCCCCGGGGACGCCA